UCUCUUCAAAACGUUGUUGAAUGAUGAUGCUUCAGGCAGGAAGCAGCUCAGCGCCUCAGAACAGUUUGCUCUGGGAUUUGACCCAAAUCCCAAAACUGUUUUGUGUUGGGUUCUGCGGGGGAGUGUUUUCUCUACAUUUUCAGGGUGGCAGGCUGACGGGAUCCAGCUGGUGCUCGUCAUCUCCAAUCAACAAUGGCCUUAAAUAGGAGAGGCUUCCCAGAAGAAGAUGCCAGAUGGUUCCGCUUCUACAGUGGUACACUCUAGCUCUCAGUGCUGUCUCAAGUGUCUAACUUGUUCCUGACGCCUCUCCCAUCUUUCUUCCUCCUAGAACCAGCCCUGACCUCUCUCUGAGAAUCAGAUCACCUGGACUACUUGGCCCUCGCUGUUUGGCUUGGCCAAGCCCCUGGAUUCCUCCACCACCACCCUGCUGCUGCCUGUCCACCCUCAGUUACCUGCUGGAACUCCCCCACCUGGAGACCCCUCGCUGCCCCAACUGCUGUACCCUCCUCUGCUCACCUGAACCCCCAAUCCUUCCUCCUCUGGCCCGGUUCCUCCCUGCUGCCGCUGAUCUUCACCUCUCCAUUGUUUUCCCCAUUACACCUUCCUGUUCAAUAAAUCUGUAAACUGAGUUUGGGUGUCCGUAGUUGUUGCUUGCCUUCGAGUCCUGGUACCUCUCAU